rnacentral:rRNA from 1 species
AGGACCAAUUGGAGGGCAAGUCUGGUGCCAGCAGCCGCGGUAAUUCCAGCUCCAAUAGCGUAUAUUAAAGUUGUUGCGGUUAAAACGUUCGUAGUUGAACUUGUGCUUCAUACGGGUAGUACACCUAAAAUUUGGGUUCGUACAUUACCUUAUUGUAUGUUAAGCGUAUUACUGGUGGAGUUUAUAUGUUAUAUAUUUUCAUAUGUGAUAUAUAUCUCCUAUUAAACCUGAUUCAAUGCUCUUCACCGAGUGUUGUUUUGGGACAGUACAAUUACUUUGAACAAAUUAGAGUGCUUAAAGCAGGCUCUUAAUGCCUGAAUAUUCUGUGCAUGGAAUAAUGGAAUAAGACCUCUGUUCUAAUUUCAUUGGUUUUUAGAUCAAGAGGUAAUGAUUAAUAGAAGCAGUUGGGGGCAUUAGUAUUACGACGCGAGAGGUGAAAUUCUUGGACCGUCGUAAGACUAACUUAAGCGAAAGCAUUUGCCAAAGAUGUUUUCAUUAAUCAAGAACGAAAGUUAGAGGUUCGAAGGCGAUCAGAUACCGCCCUAGUUCUAACCAUAAACGAUGCCAACCAGCAAUUGGGUGUAGCUACUACUAUGGCUCUCUCAGUCGCUUCCCGGGAAACCAAAGUUUUUGGGCUCCGGGGGAAGUAUGGUUGCAAAGCUGAAACUUAAAGGAAUUGACGGAAGGGCACCACCAGGAGUGGAG